rnacentral:rRNA from 1 species
CCCAGACUCCUACGGGAGGCAACAGUGGGGAAUAUUGGGCAAUGGGCGCAAGCCUGACCCAGCAACGCCGCGUGAAGGGAGAAGGCUUUCGGGUUGUAAACUUCUUUUAAGAGGGAAGAGUAGAAGACGGUACCUCUUGAAUAAGCCACGGCUAACUACGUGCCAGCAGCCGCGGUAAUACGUAGGUGGCAAGCGUUGUCCGGAUUUACUGGGUGUGAAGGGCGUGUAGCCGGGCCGGCAAGUCAGAUGUGAAAUCCCAAGGCUCAACCUUGGAACUGCAUUUGAAACUGUUGGUCUUGAGUAUCGGAGAGGCAGGCGGAAUUCCUAGUGUAGCGGUGAAAUGCGUAGAUAUUAGGAGGAACACCAGUGGCGAAGGCGGUCUGCUGGACAGCAACUGACGGUGAGGCGCGAAAGCGUGGGGAGCAAACAGGAUUAGAUACCCUGGUACCA